CUUUCUUGGAAACUUCUGUAUCUGCUGGAAGGAUCUUAGUCACGCUGCAGCUUGCUGUUGUGUAGGACCAAAGGAUAGAGAUGGACAAACUGAUCUCAUCUGGUACCGCUUAUACCCAAUUUCCUUUAUUAGAUCAUAUUUACUAUCUUCAAGGAAAUCUGAAUUGCUACAGGAACAGCUGAAAAUUUUAUUUCAGAGUCGGGAAUUAUAAGCUUGAUGCCUGUUGUUUAAGCAACUUAUGCGGGAGCGACAGCAGAUGGCCAGCCGCCCCUUUGCUUCUGUCGAUGUAGCACUGGAAGUAGGAGCUGAGCAAACAGACUUUCUACGAGGGCCAUUAGAGGAUCGACCACAAGGACCGAAUAAUGCUCCCAAAGAAAUGCAUUUGGAUGAAGAUGACUGAACAUGCAGAUCCAAAGGCCCUUUUAGGAUACGGUGAACCUUUGGCCUUGGAUGAAGAGCGUUCUUGGAUGAAAGAACUCCAGCUGAAAGACAAAGUCUUUGCCUUUUCCCUUGAGAUUUGCAGAGAUAUGAAAGAGAUAAAGGAAACAAAGAUUUGCAGCUGAAUUCUUGCAGGGUGCAGUUCUAGUGGCUGACAGGCACCCAGCUGGCCUGCCUCAUUACUGUGGAAUGUCACAUGCUUACACCCCUUACUGUUCUCCUGCAACUCCCUAAAGCCCUCACAUGCAUUUUGGCUCUUCUUUUCUGCUAUUUGCAAAUUACAUUUAAUUGUGUAGUUUUUGUACUAAAAUUUGUUCUCGGACUCAAGUAUAUCGUGUGUAACUAAGAAAGUAAAUGAAGAAAAUAUAUACUGUACUUGGUUCCUAAAAUUAUCAUAUUUGUACCAGCAACUGAGGAGGUAAUUAAGUAAUAAUCCUGUUUUUCUUUAAUGGCUUGCCUAAACUGAAAAUACCAAUAGUUCAUUGAGUCAAUGAACUGACAUUCACAGUGUGGUCAGCCAUAGCUACCUGGUCAUUUGAAUGGAUUUUCUACUCUAACAUAUUGAACUAUGUUAAAUUGAUAUGAAGAUAUUUGUAAAUUUCCUUACUAAAUGUUCAGUAUACUUAAAACUUGGUUAUACUUUUGACUAUUUUACUUUACCAAGUGUCCUUAUUCUCACUUUUUAUUAUAAAAUGCAGCUCUUCUAGACAGUUUUUGUUUAGAUUCUUAGAAUAUGAUUUGAUUCCAUUAACAGUGUUUGUUGUUAGAGUUGAACUUCAAAGUAUGUCUGAUACCUAACAUGUUACUACCUAUUGGAUUUUCUUAAUUGAGAAUGUCUGAAAACAAAGGCUACACACAGAGAAAUGCUGUACCAAAGUUAAAGAGCUUUACUUUCCCUGCAUCAGUCCCCACAGAGGGAGACCUAAUUACUUUCACUGUCGUAGAAAAAGUAUAAUUCUGCUUGUAUAUCAACUCAUAUGCUAUAGUAUCUUUCGUGCUAGAUAGGAAUGUGUAGUAAGUAUGUUGGAAUUCAGGCAUUUGUGGUAUCUCUGCUCUAAAGUGCAGCCACCAGACAGGCUUCUCAAGAGGCAAACCUGAACAGUGUAGCAACUGUUUUAACAAACCACCACCAAUAAGAAGGCAUUCACCUGCAGGGUAGCCUAGGUAAGCCCAGCAUUAUCAGAUAAAGAUGUAUUAGUCUACUUCUUUCAAAAGUCCUCUGUAACAUUUUUAAUAUUUUUCUUCAAUUUUCUUCUUCUUAUUGCCCAACCAUCCCUGUUUAAAAGCAGUUCUAGAAGCUGUUUCCAGCUAAGCAUUAAACUUUUCUAAAUAAUAGUGCAGAUGCUGUCUCUUAAAGUUUAGCUUUUGACUUGAAGACCUGGAGACAAUAACCAGUCUUUGAUCAGUGAUUUCACUUCCUCGUCUUCUCUGCUCACAUCUCUCUAUUUUGUCCCCUACCCCUCCUCUUUGGCCUUAACUGGUCAUAAAAAUUAUGCAUGACAGUUGGAAGUGUCGUUUGCUGCAGGGUCUCUGUAUGGGCUGACUAAUAUAAAGUAAUUCAUAUUGAGAUGCAUAUGUAUGUUUGUAUGUGCAAGACAUUAACUUUACUUGCAUUGAGCCUGUUAGAAUGUGGAUGUACACAAAGAAAGCUAUGACUAAAAUUUCAGAUAUCUAGGUACUGAACAAUUAAAUUUUAUUGUUUACUCUUGA